GAUGAACGCUGGCGGCGUGCCUAAUACAUGCAAGUCGAGCGAAUGAAUUAAGAGCUUGCUCUUAUGAAGUUAGCGGCGGACGGGUGAGUAACACGUGGGUAACCUGCCCAUAAGACUGGGAUAACUCCGGGAAACCGGGGCUAAUACCGGAUAACAUUUUGAACCGCAUGGUUCGAAAUUGAAAGGCGGCUUCGGCUGUCACUUAUGGAUGGACCCGCGUCGCAUUAGCUAGUUGGUGAGGUAACGGCUCACCAAGGCAACGAUGCGUAGCCGACCUGAGAGGGUGAUCGGCCACACUGGGACUGAGACACGGCCCAGACUCCUACGGGAGGCAGCAGUAGGGAAUCUUCCGCAAGGGACGAAAGUCUGACGGAGCAACGCCGCGUGAGUGAUGAAGGCUUUCGGGUCGUAAAACUCUGUUGUUAGGGAAGAACAAGUGCUAGUUGAAUAAGCUGGCACCUUGACGGUACCUAACCAGAAAGCCACGGCUAACUACGUGCCAGCAGCCGCCGUAA
rnacentral:rRNA from 1 species